GCUCGCAUCGGUAGCGCGUAGAGUAAAAUUGGAACAAUACAGAGAUUAGCAUGCCCCCUUCACAAGGAUGACAUGCAAAUUUGUGAAGCUUUUCCAAAAAAA